rnacentral:tRNA from 1 species
GCUGUGAUGGCUUAGAGGUUAAGGCGUUGGACUGAAAUCCAAUGGGGUUUCCCACAAGAGGUUCAACCCUGCUGAAGCA